UCGAGAAUCUUUCACAAUGGGCGAAAGCCUGAUGGAGCGACGCCGCGUGGAGGUUAAGGUCUUCGGAUUGUAAACUCCUGUCAUGCGAGAACAAAGCCCGCAAGGGUCUGAUAGUAUCGCAAGAGGAAGAGACGGCUAACUCUGUGCCAGCAGCCGCGGUAAUACAGAGGUCUCAAGCGUUGUUCGGAAUUACUGGGCGUAAAGGGUGCGCAGGCCGCGCGGGCAGUCAAAUGUGUAAUCCAGGGGCUCAACCCCUGAACUGCGCUUGAUACUUCCGCGCUCGAGCUUUGGAGAGGAGUCUGGAAUUCUCGGUGUAGCAGUGAAAUGCGUGGAUAUCGAGAAGAACACUUAGGGCGUAGGCAAGACUCUGGACAAAUGCUGACGCUCAUGCACGAAGGCUAGGGUAGCGAACGGGAUUAGAUACCCGCGUAGUCC
rnacentral:rRNA from 1 species